rnacentral:rRNA from 1 species
AGCCGCAAUUUGUGCUAAGGUAGCAUAAUCAUUUGUCUUUUAAAUAAAGACUAGAACAAAAGAUUUAACAUUUCAAAAAUUUUAAUAAUUUAUAUAUUAAAAUUAACUUAAAUGUAAAAAGACAUUUAUAAUAUAAAAAGACAAUAAGACCCUAUUGAACUUAACUUUAGUUAAACUGGGGUAGUUAAUUAAUUAUUAUUUUAAUUAAUUUAAAUAUAUAAUUAUCUAAUAUAAUUAAUUAUUCAGUUACCAUAGGGAUAACAGAGUAAUUAUUUAUUAAAGAUCUUAUUUAAUAAAAAGAUUGCAACCUCGAUGUUGAAUUAAUAAUCUAUUUUAAGCAAAAUUCAAAAAAGAAAGUCUGUUCGACUUUUAAAAAAUUACAUGAUUUGAGUUCAGACCGGUGUAAGCCAGGUCGGUUUCUAUCUUUUAUUAAAUUUUUACAGUACGAAAGGACCUAAAAAUUUCAUUUUAUGAAUAUAUUAGCAAACAAAUGCAUUAGAAUUAGAAUCUAAUAAACUAAUA